UGGGGAAUAUUGCACAAUGGGGGAAACCCGUGAUGCAGCGACGCCGCGUGAAGGAAGAAGUAUUUCGGUAUGUAAACUUCUAUCAGCAGGGAACGAAAAUGACGGUACCUGACUAAGAAGCCCCGGCUAACUACGUGCC
rnacentral:rRNA from 1 species